rnacentral:rRNA from 1 species
UUGAACGCUGGCGGCAGGCCUAACACAUGCAAGUCGAGCGGUUGAGAGUAGCUUGCUACUUGAUGCAGCGGCGGACGGGUGAGUAACGCGUGGGAAUCUGCCCAGUAGUGGGGGACAACAGCCGGAAACGGCUGCUAAUACCGCAUACGCCCUACGGGGGAAAGGGGGGGAUCUUCGGACCUCUCGCUAUUGGAUGAGCCCGCGUCGGAUUAGCUAGUUGGUAGGGUAAAGGCCUACCAAGGCUACGAUCCGUAACUGGUCUGAGAGGAUGGUCAGUCACACUGGGACUGAGACACGGUCCAGACUCCUACGGGAGGCAGCAGUGGGGAAUAUUGGACAAUGGGGGAAACCCUGAUCCAGCCAUGCCGCGUGUGUGAAGAAGGCCUUAGGGUUGUAAAGCACUUUCAGUGGGGAGAAAGGUUUGUCACCUAAUACGUGAUGAAAUUGAUGUUACCCACAGAAGAAGCACCGGCUAACUCCGUGCCAGCCGCCGCCGUAAGAC